AGGAUAUACACUAGUUCAAUGAAUUGGAAGAAUGUGGUAGACAGAACAUGAUGUGGAAAAAAUGUCAUCCAUAUUAAUAGAAAACAGAAUGUAAUGGGAGAAUAACAUGCAGAGAAUUGAAAUGAAACGCCAAUCUGGCGUAAUAUUCUCCAGCAUUUGAAAAGAGCUCCCCAGAGGUCAGUGGAAGGUUCAUCUGCUGCACCAGUUGGAACUGCGGACAAGACCUUCAGCCCGUGAAAUGCUCUCCCGGUAUCCACUGCCUUUGCAUUUGCUGUGGGUCUGCUUCCAUCAACUGUGCUCAGGUCUGGUGUGGCCAGCUGGUGUUCAUCUCUUAGGUUCUCUGGAAGUAUAUGGUUGCUGGGUGCAUUUGAUCUCCCCCUGCCUGUGGGGACA